UAACACCCAAAAUUUUACUCUUUAAAAUAGAGAAAUAUGAUUUAAUUAAAUAAUUUUUUGUGAGCAUUAUAAUAUAGGAAAAAUAAUUAAAUUUUUGUGAAAAUAAAAUUUAAUAUAGGUUUAGAAACAUGUUGAUGCAUUCAUGCCGCAGUACUUAUUUUUGUGAUGUGUGAAAUUAUGCAAAAGAAAUUUUGUUCAAAAUUCAAUUUGUAAAUGCUUUUGAAAACAAGUUGGAAAAAAUAAAAAAAAGGAAAUCCAUCUCUCUCCCUUUCCCAUCACUUUCGGCCUGCUUGGCCCAAUUCGAGCAGCACGCCAGCACCCUAACUCCCUCUCUCUCUCCCAUUGACGAGUGGGGACCACCUAUCGGCUCCUUCUCCGUCCCCCAGCCGUUGCCUCCUUCUCUCACGCACAGGAAGCCGCAACCGGCGCCCUGCUUCCACGACGACGCACCCACGCCCACGUCUCUCGGUCUCUCGCGACUUAGAGUUGUUGCCGACCUCGCUCCUCUCUCCCCCUCCUCAUUUCCGCACUCGCAGCCGCAACCGAGCGUCUGGACAGUAAGAAAAACCACCGCUGAAGCACUGCAGACCCGCCACGCGACGUCCCGGUGAAUCAAGCCGCC
rnacentral:lncRNA from 1 species